CUGCUAUCGGAUUGAUACUAAGCCAUGCGAGUCAUUGUAGCAAUACAAGGCAGACGGCUCAGUAACGCGUAGUCAACCUACCCUAUGGACGGGAAUAACCUCGGGAAACUGAGUAUAAUGCCCGAUAGAACAUUAUGCCUGGAAUGGUUUAUGUUCCAAAUGAUUUAUCGCCAUAGGAUGGGACUGCGGCCUAUCAGCUUGUUGGUGAGGUAAUGGCCCACCAAGACUAUUACAGGUACGGGCUCUGAGAGGAGUAGCCCGGAGAUGGGUACUGAGACACGGACCCAGGCCCUAUGGGGCGCAGCAGGCGAGAAAACUUUGCAAUGUGCGAAAGCACGACAAGGUUAAUCCGAGUGGUUUCUGCUAAAGGAACCUUUUGUUAGUCCUAGAAACACUAACGAAUAAGGGGUGGGCAAGUUCUGGUGUCAGCCGCCGCGGUAAAACCAGCACCUCAAGUGGUCAGGAUGAUUAUUGGGCCUAAAGCAUCCGUAGCCUGCUCUGUAAGUUUUCGGUUAAAUCUGUAUGCUCAACAUACAGGCCGCCGGGAAUACUGCAGGGCUAGGGAGUGGGAGAGGUAGACGGUACUCGGGAGGAAGUGGUAAAAUGCUUUGAUCUCUCGAUGACCACCUGUGGCGAAGGCGGUCUACCAGAACACGUCCGACGGUGAGGGAUGAAAGCUGGGGGAGCAAACCGGAUUAGAUACCCGGGUAGUCCCAGCCGUAAACUAUGCAAACUCAGUGAUGCAUUGGCUUGUGGCCAAUGCAGUGUUGCAGGGAAGCCGUUAAGUUUGCCGCCUGGGAAGUACGUACGCAAGUAUGAAACUUAAAGGAAUUGGCGGGGAGCACCACAAGGGGUGAAGCCUGCGGUUCA
rnacentral:rRNA from 1 species